CGAAUUUCCUUACCAAACAGUUACACACAGGUGAUGAUGAUACAUGCAAGAGCUUCUGACACUACAGUUGCACAUCUUGCAUAAUAUACAAGUAUGGAAGCUCAUAUGAGUAUAAAACUACAAGCUUUUCAUGUCAAAAUGUUACAUUUGAUUAUACAGGGGGAAAAGGGAUGCACUAAUUACUUUAUUUCUCCGGCACCACUUUAUAUCUUGAUGGCACAGAUAACUCAACCAUUUACACCUACAAUUACGCUCACAGGAACUGCAGUUAAUGCUCAUCCCUUGUUUGCAUAAACAGACACAUGUUAACUUCCUCAGGUGAUUAAUUAAUGGUGUUUUCCCUCUGUAAUUUAGGAAUCACCACACUAAGCCCUUUCUUCUCCUAAACCUGUCAACACGAUCUGUGCUCAUCCGCGACUUCUCAGGUUUGUUUGACUUCUUAGUCUUUUCAAGUCGACUAUCCAAACUGUUCCUUGAAAUUUCAGGAAGAUCAGGUUUCAGGUCAAACGUGUCGGUGGUACUACCACUUUCGGCAGGUUUACUCUGAUUUUCAGACUCUGUUGAUGCUUUCUGGGGGCCAUUAGCAGCAGGCUUCGGUUUGCCAAGACCAAGAACAAAUUUCUUUAGAUGUUUGAUAUACUCUGGGUAAAGUUCAAGAUUGCAGUGUCCACCUCCAUUUAUCCACAAAGGUUCAUAUUUUUCUUUACAUAGCUCCCACAGCUGUUUCCCAUGGGAGUAGUCAACAACUUCAUCCGCUGUUCCAUGAAUGACGAGAACCGGACAAUUCACUGCACUAAUCUUGUCAAUGUUCUUGUAUAUGUCAAACCAAUAUGUCCGCUUGACAGGGUACAAAACUCUUACACCAGACAAUAUUGGACUAUGUAAAACAACACCUCGUAAAUUGGGUACUCGUGAUGCAAGAUCAACAGUUGGGCCACUGCCAACAGAUUGACCAUAGAUUAUUAACUGUUCAUCUUUGACCUCAUAUUGCUCCUUUAAGCAUUUAUAUACUGCAUCAAUGUCCGCGUAUGUAUUACAUUCAGAUGGCUUUCCAGUUGAUUGUCCAUAUCCAGAGUAAUCAUACCCCAUGAGAUUGACCCGAAGACGAAGGCUUAACUCCACAAAUAAUUCAAACAUUUGCCCCAAAUCAGCAGCAUUUCCAUGAGAGUAAAGCAUAGAGGCGGAUGCCUUUGGAUGUUUCACGUAUACGGCGACGAUUUCGUUUCCCCGGUGAGUCCGCAGCUUCAAAACGUCGACGUUUUCCCU
rnacentral:misc_RNA from 1 species